rnacentral:SRP_RNA from 1 species
GCCAGGCAUGGUGGCUCAUGCCUGUAGUCCCAGCUACUCGGGAGGCUGAGGUGGGAGGAUUGCUUGAGCCCAGGAGUUCUGGGCUGUAGUGCUCUAUGCCAGUCUGGUGUCUGCACUAAGUUCAGCAUCAAUAUGGUGACCUCCCAGGAGUAGGGAACCACCAGGUUGCCUAAGGAGGGGUGAACUGGCCCAGGUCAGAAACAGAGCAGGUCAGAACUCCUGUGCUGAUCAGUAGUGGGAUCGCGCCUGGGAACACCCACUGCACUUCAGCCUGGGCCACAUAGCGAGACCCCCAUCUCU